AGUGAACGCUGGCGGCAGGCCUAACACAUGCAAGUCGAACGGCAGCACAGUAAGAGUUCGCCCCUACGGGUGGCGAGGGGCGGACGGGUGAGGAAUACAUCGGAAUCUACUUUGUCGUGGGGGACAACGGAGGGAAACAUACGCUAAUACCGCAUACGACGUACCGGAGAAAGCAGGGGAUCUUCGGACCUUUGGUGUCUCAAAGAGCCGAUGUCGGAUUAGCUAGUUGGGGGGGUAAAGGCCCACCAAGGCAACGAUCCGUAGCUGGUCUGAGAGGAUGAUCGGCCACACUGGAACUGAGACACGGUCCAGACUCCUACGGGAGGCAGCAGUGGGGAAUAUUCGACAAUGGGCGCAGGCCUGAUCCAGCCAUGCCGCGUGAGUGAAGAAGGCCUUCGGGUUGUAAAGCCCUUUUGUUGGGAAAGAAAAGCAGUAGGUUAAUCCCCCGCUGUUCUGACGGUACCCAAAGAGUAAGCCCCGGCUAACUUCGUG
rnacentral:rRNA from 1 species